rnacentral:lncRNA from 1 species
UAAAAUCGAACACAAGGACCUCCACGGACCGCGUCAUCGAGUGCACGAGUCAAAAAGCCUGUGCGAUCAGUGAAAACUUACGAAUCAGGAGCGCAGACUCGGACGCGGUAUCUGUCGGCUGCGACGAGGGCGCGAACCAGGGCGCGCAGGCCGGGGGCGUCGAUGCCGUCGUCGUUGGUGACCAGGACCGUCGGCCGCUCGUCGGAGCUCCGGCCGGUGACGCCGUCCAUCGCCGGGAAAAAGAGAGAGAGUGGGGGAACGGGGCGGCCGGCGAGCUGAUCGGCGGUCGGACGGCGCGAGUUCAGAGCGAACUGCGAGGGGAGUGCUGAUGAAUGAAGCGAUUUUCAAAGAUUCGCGCAGGGAACGGCAUCAAAGUUCUAAGCAAUUAUAGCCCAACUUGGACGUGCAUCGGAUUCGAGUCAUCGGAAUUAAGUUCCGGUAAAAUGUUCGUUUUUUUUUUUACACAUUUUUUUUAUUGAUUGAUACUGGUAAAAAUGUACAUUUACCUAAAACUAAU